AGAGUUUGAUCCUGGCUCAGAACGAACGCUGGCGGCGUGGAUAAGACAUGCAAGUCGAGCGCUGAUUACGGGGUAGCAAUAUUCCGUAGUCGGAGCGGCGCAAGGGUGCGUAACACGUGGGUAAUCUGCCAUGAAGUUUGGAAUAACUCGCUGAAAGGCGAGCUAAUGCCGGAUGUGAAAACUGGGAGGCAUCUCUUGGUUUUCAAAGCUGGGGACCGUAAGGCCUGGCGCUUCAUGAUGAGCCCGCGGCCUAUCAGCUAGUUGGUAAGGUAACGGCUUACCAAGGCUAAGACGGGUAGCUGGUCUGAGAGGACGACCAGCCACACUGGAACUGAGACACGGUCCAGACACCUACGGGUGGCAGCAGUCGAGAAUUUUUCACAAUGGGCGCAAGCCUGAUGGAGCGACGCCGCGUGGGGGAUGAAUGGCUUCGGCCCGUAAACCCCUGUCAUUUGCGAUCAACCGUUGUUGUUUAAGAGAUGACAACCUGAUAGUAGCGAAAGAGGAAGGGACGGCUAACUCUGUGCCAGCAGCCGCGGUAAUACAGAGGUCCCAAGCGUUGUUCGGAUUCACUGGGCGUAAAGGGUGCGUAGGUGGCGGGGUAAGUCGGAUGUGAAAUCUCCGAGCUCAACUCGGAAAUGGCAUUGGAAACUGCUCUGCUCGAGGGUUGGAGGGGGGACUGGAAUACUUGGUGUA
rnacentral:rRNA from 1 species